UUCAAGGGAGGUGCUUGCAUACCUCCACCCCUAAACUUGCAGCAAAUUAAUCCAUAGACAGGGGACCUUUGCUGAUGGGAGUGUCAACAGAAAGCCAGGAUCAAGUGGCUCGGGAAGAUUGGGACUUGGGGCCACGGCUGAUCCAAAUGAAGUGAGUCAGUAUGAUGAUGUAUAUACAUCUUACAGGAAGCACAGAAGCACAAAUUAUCACACUUCAAUGAGUGCUAGAGCAGCUGUGAGAUAAAGCUAUCAUAAUUAGUUUCACAUCGUUGGGUCACUUGGGUGUGUAGACUGGGCCACGUUGGGUUGCCUUUGUUGAUGUUUAUCUGAAACUGGUCGUUGAAGACAAUAACAAUCAGAUCGAGCGAUACAACAGAUCUCCUCGGCCGACGAGUAAGCGAAGUAAACUUCACUCGGUUCCCACCCAUCACAUUCGCAAGAUCAGACCACAACGUGAGAUCCGUCUCACGACCAGCGCCAUGAAAGAAAUUAGAAGAAUAACUAUCAGAAAAAGAGAAAUCGUGUGUAUUUCACAUAAUUAAAAGAUGAGUCGAACGGUCCUUUUUGUUAAUUCUAUUUGACUCACAUCUGAAGUCAUUCAUGAGUAUAAAGAGUUAAUUUGAUACUGGUGUGAAUGUUA